AUUGAACGCUGGCGGCAUGCUUUACACAUGCAAGUCGAACGGUAACAGGCCGCAAGAUGCUGACGAGUGGCGAACGGGUGAGUAAUGCAUCGGAACGUGCCCAGUCGUGGGGGAUAACGCAGCGAAAGCUGCGCUAAUACCGCAUACGAUCUAUGGAUGAAAGCGGGGGACCGUAAGGCCUCGCGCGAUUGGAGCGGCCGAUGUCAGAUUAGGUAGUUGGUGGGGUAAAGGCUCACCAAGCCAACGAUCUGUAGCUGGUCUGAGAGGACGACCAGCCACACUGGGACUGAGACACGGCCCAGACUCCUACGGGAGGCAGCAGUGGGGAAUUUUGGACAAUGGGCGCAAGCCUGAUCCAGCAAUGCCGCGUGCAGGAAGAAGGCCUUCGGGUUGUAAACUGCUUUUGUACGGAACGAAACGGCUCUGGUUAAUACCUGGGGCUAAUGACGGUACCGUAAGAAUAAGCACCGGCUAACUACGUGCCAGCCGCCGCAGUAAUAC
rnacentral:rRNA from 1 species